AUUGAACGCUAGCGGGAUGCCUUACACAUGCAAGUCGAACGGAGUGGCGAACGGGUGAGUAAUGUAUCGGAACGUGCCCAGUAGCGGGGGAUAACUACGCGAAAGGGUAGCUAAUACCGCAUACUAUCGGAGCGGCCGAUAUCGGAUUAGCUAGUGGGUGGGGUAACGGCUCACAAAGGCGACGAUCCGUAGCUGGGUUGAGAGGACGACCAGCCACACUGGGACUGAGACACGGUCCAGACUCCUACGGGAGGCAGCAGUGGGGAAUAUUGGACAAUGGGCGAAAGCCUGAUGCAGCCAUGCCGCGUGUAUGAUGAAGGCCUUCGGGUUGUAAAGCACUUUUGGCAGGAAGGCGGUACCUGCAGAAUAAGCACCGGCUAACUACGUGCCAGCAGCCGCGGUAAUUC
rnacentral:rRNA from 1 species